GAUGAACGCUGGCGGCGUGCCUAAUACAUGCAAGUCGAGCGAACGGACGAGAAGCUUGCUUCUCUGAUGUUAGCGGCGGACGGGUGAGUAACACGUGGAUAACCUACCUAUAAGACUGGGAUAACUUCGGGAAACCGGAGCUAAUACCGGAUAAUAUUUUGAACCGCAUGGUUCAACAGUGAAAGACGGUCUUGCUGUCACUUAUAGAUGGAUCCGCGCUGCAUUAGCUAGUUGGUAAGGUAACGGCUUACCAAGGCAACGAUGCGUAGCCGACCUGAGAGGGUGAUCAGCCACACUGGAACUGAGACACGGUCCAGACUCCUACGGGAGGCAGCAGUGGGGAAUCUUCCGCAAAGGGCGAAAGCCUGACGGAGCAACGCCGCGUGAGUGAUGAAGGUCUUCGGAUCGUAAAACUCUGUUAUUAGGGAAGAACAUAUGUGUAAGUAACUGUGCACAUCUUGACGGUACCUAAUCAGAAAGCCACGGCUAACUACGUG
rnacentral:rRNA from 1 species